rfam:Bombyx mori DNA, contig: Bm_scaf91_contig34464, strain: p50T/Dazao, build 2, whole genome shotgun sequence.
UUAACUUGAAUUUGUAUGGAGUUGGAACGUUUGCCUACGUUUGCCGCUAAAGGCGCGGUUCCAACUGCUUACAAAUUUAAGUUU